GGAGGGGAGGGAGGAGAGGUUAGGCUGUCUGAACGUACAUCAUCAGCUGUGGAGGGGAGGGAGGAGAGGUUAGGCUGUCUGAACGUACAUCAUCAGCUGUGGAGGGGAGGGAGGGGAGGUUAGGCUGUCUGAACGUACAUCAUCAGCUGUGGAGGGGAGGGAGGAGAGGUUAGGCUGUCUGAACGUACAUCAUCAGCUGUGGAGGGGAGGGAGGGGAGGUUAGGCUGUCUGAACGUACAUCAUCAGCUGUGGAGGGGAGGGAAGGCUGUCUGAACGUACAUCAUCAGCUGUGGAGGGGAGGGAGGAGAGGUUAGGCUGUCUGAACGUACAUCAUCAGCUGUGGAGGGGAGGGAGGGGAGGUUAGGCUGUCUGAACGUCCAUCAUCAGCUGUGGAGGGGAGGGAGGGGAGGUUAGGCUGUCUGAAUGUCCAUCAUAGAGAGACAGAUGGAGGGGAGGUUAGGCUGUCUGAAUGUCCAUCAGAGAGAGACAGAUGGAGGGAGGAGAGGUUAGGCUUUCUGAAUGUCCAUCAGAGAGAGACAGAUGGAGGGAGGAGAGGUUAGGCUGUCUGAAUGUCCAUCAUAGAGAGACAGAUGGAGGGGAGGUUAGGCUGUCUGAAUGUCCAUCAUAGAGAGACAGAUGGAGGGAGGAGAGGUUAGGCUGUCUGAAUGUCCAUCAUAGAGAGACAGAUGGAGGGAG